rnacentral:lncRNA from 1 species
UUUGCAGGGGAGCCAUAGAAACUGCUGGUUUCCAUGGUGACAGCCGAAAUCUUCAUUUCUAUUCUCCUGGUUUCUACAGCAUGGAAGGGGAAGCUGUAAUGGAGAAAUGCUACUUUGUCAUCUCUUCUACUGAGUCAAUAUUGGAUGGAGUAGAAGGAUCUCCCCAGGUUGGAGGAGGUGGAUGACGUCAUCCUCGAAGCACCCACGUUUCAUGGGAUGUGCACAGGAGCUCACUGAAAAUGUAUUGCGCGACCAGGCUUGUGAAGGAAACAACAGUCUACUCGAAAUUGCAGUCUUACCUCGUGGGGCAUCUCAGAGGCUUCAACGCGUUAAUAAACAUUUGAAUCUUGAGAAGGGAGCACAGCGU